ensembl:processed_transcript Six3os1 SIX homeobox 3, opposite strand 1
AAAAGGAUCACAGAUGCUGCUCGGGGCCAGCCCUAUACUCCCUCCAGUGCCUGGUCUCCGGUGGACCCGCGGGGCUCUGCAGUUCUCUGGCGGCCGCGCCUUGUAAGCGCUAAGCCGGGAGGAGGGCGCAGGCAGGGCGCACAGCUCUGAGCGCGACCCUACCCGGCUCGGGCCCGCAGCAGCCCCGACUGUCCGAGAGCCUCUCCGCAAGCAAGGCUCUGCGCCGCCCUCUGAGCCCACCUCCUGGCCACAACGCUGCCUGCGCUUCUCCAGCCCAGGCCGGAAGCCCUAUGCUGCCUCCCGAAGCCGACUCAAGGACUGGGGACUUGGUGGAUCUAUGGCAUUGGUACCCACAGAGGUCACCUGCACAGAUAAAUCUGUCGCCACCCUUCAACCCUGGCCUACCGGAUCUGCGGGGAGAAAUGCAGCAUUUGAAUUGGGGAGUGUUCAGUCCUGCUCUGCGGGGCAUUUAUUUACAAAUAUCAGCUGCAACCCAGCCUUGAUAACGUCUCAUACAGUCAGAGGACUUUGCGGGAAGCACACUUCCUCCUUGUUUGGGGCUACAGGGAAAGCCCAGGAAAGCGAGUCCCAGAAGGCCUGGGACAGCUACACCCAGUUCACCCAUGCUCAACCCGGAACAGCCGACCCAAACGGUCAGGAAGGUUUGUCCUGGGGGCAACGCCUCUUCCGGGCUCUAGGACAUUGGAAGACAGAGAGAUUGCUGGGUAGCGGGUGGUCUGGGCCUCCCCGCAAGCUGCAAACGAAGGAGCUUGGAGCAGACCGCCAGGGAGGGCGCAGGGGAGCGCAGUACUCAGGCGGAGAGGCCCCGAAGCCCUUCAGGGACUCCGAUUACUUUCCUUUGAACAACAACAACAACAACAAAAACAACAACAACAACUGCUCCCUCCCCCUUAUAUCCCCUCCCUUUUUUAGCCUCCGGGCACCAGGCUUCCACGUAAUUGUCCUUCUGGACAGUAAACACAGCUCAGUUGCCUCAACUUUCCUGGUGCAUAAAAGUUCCCGGCGUGAGGGGAAAUUUGAAUAUUUGAUCAGCCCCUUUGAGUGACCCUCAUUAGCCUGGCGCCCUGCUAAGGCCCCACCAUUGCAAAAAAGCUGCUGGGCCCGGCAUUUGUACGCCUUGUUAGCGCUGCUUAAUGAAGCCGCCCCGACGGCUCAAAGGCGGCCUCUGGGGCCGGCAGCGCGCACCUCUCGGCACCCCGCUCUGCCUAAUGAGCCCCGCCGCCCGCUAAAGGCCCUUCCACCCCCCACAUCCUCAAACAAGAGGGGUUUGGCUCCGUCUAGGACCUGAACACCUCCCACCACCGGGCCCAGGAGGGUGGGCACAAACCCAGUCUAGCUGGCUACACGGUGAUCUAGCCCCUGGAGAAAGAAGCCAGCUACUUGGAGUAUGCAAGCUAAAAAUGGUUGUGUGAGUGGGAAAGUAGGGAAGUGGAUUUUACAGCCACUAGGUCUAGCUCACCCGUGGGUACCACGAACUUUCCCCCACAGGGCCAGCUGUAAAUCAAUUAACCAGCCCAGCUCCUUAAAGGUGCAUCUGGACUAGUGUUAGAACGUCAGAAGGGCUGGUACACAGGGGAGGGUCAGCUUUCCACUCCCCCCCCCUCAAAUUCCUUUGCUCUGGUCUCCCCAGGAGGCCUGGCACUUCUCCCCAGGUGGCCUCACACUUUCUGGAAGGUCAACCUUCCAGGCAACUAGAACUCUAGGCCUGUAUUUGAGAAAGGAUGGGCAGGUUCAGUUCACACCCCUCGGAGAAUGACUUCCAGUUUCACACAAUCCCAUCCCUGGUCUCUCUUCCAUUGCGUUUAUAGCCAUGGAGAGGUCUGAAGAAGUUAGCCCAGGAAAGACCACGCUCCUUAGGCAAGACUGGGACCCCAAAAAAACCUGGACGAGAGGGGGAAAAUCCUAGGAAAAGGGAGUGGAGACAGCCACCCACUAGGACAAGCAUCUACUCCUUCUCUCCUCUUCUUGGGCCAAGGAACACAGCUAACUAGUUAAUAUAAGAAACCAUUAGAAACUGCACUUCACUCCUCAGGAAGAGUUGACAUCUCUCACUGCCCUCUCGCCUCCAUUGUUCUUUCUCCUGGACAGUUGGAACUCAAGGUCCCCUUUCACUCCCUUCUUGAGUACCCCUAGCACUUGCUGGGUUGGUGGAGCAGGGAACUCUCGGUUCUCCACUCAGGACUUUCUGGAAGCCCAUCUUCGUAUGCUCACCAGCCCACCCUCCUACGCUGGUCAGAGUGAGAUUGCUAACCUCAAGACCCCAUUCAAUGCCAGCUUUCAACUACUGCUGAAGACCAAUGUAGGUCCUGGAAUAGAAGAACUGCAGAGUGGGGCUGCGUAGAGGAUUCGGCAGUUUCUCGGCCACAAGGACGGAGUUUCCUAAGAAGGGAAAGAAGAGUGCGGGCAGAGAGGAGAGGUCCGAGGGGGAAAAGAGAGGCCUGAGGACGCUCUGGCGGCUCCAGUAUCAAGCCUUGGUAUCUUUGGGAUUCUGGGGAGAGUGGAAGGGUUUACAAACUACACAUAAAUCGGUGAACUUGAACCACUGUGUAUCCCGAUUUUGCAUUGAGCCGGGCCCUGCGCACCCGGAAUGCUGAAGUGGCCAAGGGCAGAGAGGGGUGUAUUUGCAACUCGUGGUUUCUUCGGUUAAACAAACCCCAACCCGUAGCCUCAGCAACAACAACAAAAACUGCAAGUGCAGGAAGCAAAAUUAAACAUAAUUCCUUUUAUUUAUCUGUUGCAUUUAUAUCAUUAAAAUAUUUUUGGUUACGUUGUAUAGAAUAGCAUCCACUCUGAUUAUUACCUGCCAUAUCGGCUGUAUUCAACACAGCAAAAUUAACAAUUAAGAAAAUAAAGGCACAUCUUAUAUAU